rnacentral:rRNA from 1 species
GGUUAAGCGACUAAGCGUACACGGUGGAUGCCCUGGCAGUCAGAGGCGAUGAAGGACGUGCUAAUCUGCGAUAAGCGUCGGUAAGGUGAUAUGAACCGUUAUAACCGGCGAUUUCCGAAUGGGGAAACCCAGUGUGUUUCGACACACUAUCAUUAACUGAAUCCAUAGGUUAAUGAGGCGAACCGGGGGAACUGAAACAUCUAAGUACCCCGAGGAAAAGAAAUCAACCGAGAUUCCCCCAGUAGCGGCGAGCGAACGGGGAGCAGCCCAGAGCCUGAAUCAGUGUGUGUGUUAGUGGAAGCGUCUGGAAAGGCGCGCGAUACAGGGUGACAGCCCCGUACACAAAAAUGCACAUGCUGUGAGCUCGAUGAGUAGGGCGGGACACGUGGUAUCCUGUCUGAAUAUGGGGGGACCAUCCUCCAAGGCUAAAUACUCCUGACUGACCGAUAGUGAACCAGUACCGUGAGGGAAAGGCGAAAAGAACCCCGGCGAGGGGAGUGAAAAAGAACCUGAAACCGUGUACGUACAAGCAGUGGGAGCACAGAGCAAUCUGUGUGACUGCGUACCUUUUGUAUAAUGGGUCAGCGACUUAUAUUCUGUAGCAAGGUUAACCGAAUAGGGGAGCCGAAGGGAAACCGAGUCUUAACUGGGCGUUAAGUUGCAGGGUAUAGACCCGAAACCCGGUGAUCUAGCCAUGGGCAGGUUGAAGGUUGGGUAACACUAACUGGAGGACCGAACCGACUAAUGUUGAAAAAUUAGCGGAUGACUUGUGGCUGGGGGUGAAAGGCCAAUCAAACCGGGAGAUAGCUGGUUCUCCCCGAAAGCUAUUUAGGUAGCGCCUCGUGAAUUCAUCUCCGGGGGUAGAGCACUGUUUCGGCAAGGGGGUCAUCCCGACUUACCAACCCGAUGCAAACUGCGAAUACCGGAGAAUGUUAUCACGGGAGACACACGGCGGGUGCUAACGUCCGUCGUGAAGAGGGAAACAACCCAGACCGCCAGCUAAGGUCCCAAAGUCAUGGUUAAGUGGGAAACGAUGUGGGAAGGCCCAGACAGCCAGGAUGUUGGCUUAGAAGCAGCCAUCAUUUAAAGAAAGCGUAAUAGCUCACUGGUCGAGUCGGCCUGCGCGGAAGAUGUAACGGGGCUAAACCAUGCACCGAAGCUGCGGCAGCGACGCUUAUGCGUUGUUGGGUAGGGGAGCGUUCUGUAAGCCUGUGAAGGUGUGCUGUGAGGCAUGCUGGAGGUAUCAGAAGUGCGAAUGCUGACAUAAGUAACGAUAAAGCGGGUGAAAAGCCCGCUCGCCGGAAGACCAAGGGUUCCUGUCCAACGUUAAUCGGGGCAGGGUGAGUCGACCCCUAAGGCGAGGCCGAAAGGCGUAGUCGAUGGGAAACAGGUUAAUAUUCCUGUACUUGGUGUUACUGCGAAGGGGGGACGGAGAAGGCUAUGUUGGCCGGGCGACGGUUGUCCCGGUUUAAGCGUGUAGGCUGGUUUUCCAGGCAAAUCCGGAAAAUCAAGGCUGAGGCGUGAUGACGAGGCACUACGGUGCUGAAGCAACAAAUGCCCUGCUUCCAGGAAAAGCCUCUAAGCAUCAGGUAACAUCAAAUCGUACCCCAAACCGACACAGGUGGUCAGGUAGAGAAUACCAAGGCGCUUGAGAGAACUCGGGUGAAGGAACUAGGCAAAAUGGUGCCGUAACUUCGGGAGAAGGCACGCUGAUAUGUAGGUGAAGUCCCUCGCGGAUGGAGCUGAAAUCAGUCGAAGAUACCAGCUGGCUGCAACUGUUUAUUAAAAACACAGCACUGUGCAAACACGAAAGUGGACGUAUACGGUGUGACGCCUGCCCGGUGCCGGAAGGUUAAUUGAUGGGGUUAGCGGUAACGCGAAGCUCUUGAUCGAAGCCCCGGUAAACGGCGGCCGUAACUAUAACGGUCCUAAGGUAGCGAAAUUCCUUGUCGGGUAAGUUCCGACCUGCACGAAUGGCGUAAUGAUGGCCAGGCUGUCUCCACCCGAGACUCAGUGAAAUUGAACUCGCUGUGAAGAUGCAGUGUACCCGCGGCAAGACGGAAAGACCCCGUGAACCUUUACUAUAGCUUGACACUGAACAUUGAGCCUUGAUGUGUAGGAUAGGUGGGAGGCUUAGAAGUGUGGACGCCAGUCUGCAUGGAGCCGGCCUUGAAAUACCACCCUUUAAUGUUUGAUGUUCUAACGUUGGCCCCUGAUCGGGGUUGCGGACAGUGUCUGGUGGGUAGUUUGACUGGGGCGGUCUCCUCCUAAAGAGUAACGGAGGAGCACGAAGGUUGGCUAAUCCUGGUCGGACAUCAGGAGGUUAGUGCAAUGGCAUAAGCCAGCUUGACUGCGAGCGUGACGGCGCGAGCAGGUGCGAAAGCAGGUCAUAGUGAUCCGGUGGUUCUGAAUGGAAGGGCCAUCGCUCAACGGAUAAAAGGUACUCCGGGGAUAACAGGCUGAUACCGCCCAAGAGUUCAUAUCGACGGCGGUGUUUGGCACCUCGAUGUCGGCUCAUCACAUCCUGGGGCUGAAGUAGGUCCCAAGGGUAUGGCUGUUCGCCAUUUAAAGUGGUACGCGAGCUGGGUUUAGAACGUCGUGAGACAGUUCGGUCCCUAUCUGCCGUGGGCGCUGGAGAACUGAGGGGGGCUGCUCCUAGUACGAGAGGACCGGAGUGGACGCAUCACUGGUGUUCGGGUUGUCAUGCCAAUGGCACUGCCCGGUAGCUAAAUGCGGAAGAGAUAAGUGCUGAAAGCAUCUAAGCACGAAACUUGCCCCGAGAUGAGUUCUCCCUGACUCCUUGAGAGUCCUGAAGGAACGUUGAAGACGACGACGUUGAUAGGCCGGGUGUGUAAGCGCAGCGAUGCGUUGAGCUAACCGGUACUAAUGAACCGUGAGGCUUAACCUU